rnacentral:rRNA from 1 species
GACGUAGGGGGCCAGCGUUGUUCGGAAUUACUGGGUGUAAAGGGUUCGUAGGCGGUGUGGCAAGUCGGGAGUGAAAUCUCUGGGCUCAACCCAGAGGCUGCUUCCGAAACUGCUGUGCUUGAGUGUGGGAGAGGCGCGUGGAAUUGCAGGUGUAGCGGUGAAAUGCGUAGAUAUCUGCAGGAACACCCGUGGCGAAAGCGGCGCGCUGGACCACUACUGACGCUGAAGAACGAAAGCCAGGGGAGCGAACGGG